GCCUAUAUUACUGCGUAACUGUAUGACUGUAAAUUGUAAGUCAAAAAUACUAAACUGUAAAAAAAAAAAAAAGAAUAUCUCAAGCCUGUCUCUUUUGGUUUACAUCUGGAUUUUAUAGUGAAGUCAAUUACAGCAGUACAUGUAAUAAUAAUAUCAGUCUAUCAGAAUGGAUUGUAUAUUCACCAGCUCAACUGCAGAUAUAAAGUUAUGUAAUGGGAAUAGGUAUUUCAAUAUUAUCCAGAUUUUCACUGACUUCCUCAUGUUAUUAAAGUGUUCUGCCCAAAGUGAAAAAGAAAUAAAAAGACUUGAUACAUGCAAGUGAAAUAUUAACAAGAAAUAAAUUAGUGUUACCAAAACCAUCCUAAUAACGUCCACUUCUUGCACAUGCUAAAUAUAUUACUUCCAGCGAGCUGUAGUGGUAUUAAUGCCAGAAAUGCGCUUGCAACCCCCUUCCCCUAUAUGUAGGUAGCCAAAACACUGCUACCUGCCUGAGCAAAGCGUGCCAGUGUAGGACAUAGCGAUAUUAAAUGGACACUAUAGUGCCCAGAACAACUACAGUUUAAUGUAGUGGGUCUGGAGACUAUAGACUGUCUAUGCAGACUCAGCAAUAUAAAUGGUGCCUGUCCCUGCAGGCCUUUUAAUGUAAACACUGCCUUUUUAGAGAAAAGGCAGGGUUUACAUUACUGCUUAGUUACACCUCUAGUAACAAAUCACUCAGCUAACUACUACAGGUGCUGUACCUGCACAAUAGCCUCCUAAUCAAAAAUGAUUUUCUCAGCCAUGGAGGUGGAGCAAGGUAGGGCCAGCUGCAGCGAGAGUGGUGUGGCGCUGGAAAACAAGGUGAGUAAAGUCAUCUUUUUAUAGUAAAGAGAGGAGGCCAGGGACCUAAAUAUUUAUUUUACCACUAUAGUGUCAGGAAUACAGGUUUGUGUUCCUGUCACUAUAAUGUUCCUUUAAUUAAGCGAAUUGGCCUAGAACAGUAAUGAAAAAAAAAAAAAAAAAACGACUACACAACCCAAUAUUAUAUAUACACACACAAAUAUACAUACAAAGACUUAGAAAUUCCUUGCACUCCAGGCUCCAAUUAUUUUUUCCGGGUGCUGAAAGCCCAGGGCUCAAUAUCCAAAUAGUGCAAAUAGGGAUAGGCUAGCACUCACUCAUGAUCCUGAGGAAAGUCCUGGAUGGGGACUGAAACAUCAAUCUACAUGUUUUAAUUUACCAAUAAAGUAAGGAACUUUUAACUUCCAAAUUCCUAGCCUAUCCCAUUUGCAAUAUAU